AAAUCAUGAUGCGGGCAUCUUCUCAACAGUUCCCCAAAUCGCUCUUGUGCCUCAAAUAAGGAUUUUGGUUCAUAUUGCUGGAAGCAACAUAUCUCUGUCAUAAGCUU